CUACGGGUGGCUCCAGUGGGGAAUAUUGGACAAUGGGCGCAAGCCUGAUCCAGCCAUGCCGCGUGAGUGAUGAAGGCCCUAGGGUUGUAAAGCUCUUUCGCCAGGGACGAUAAUGACGGUACCUGGAUAAGAAGCCCCGGCUAACUUCGUGCCAGCAGCCGCGGUAAUACGAAGGGGGCUAGCGUUGUUCGGAAUCACUGGGCGUAAAGCGCACGUAGGCGGAUCUUUAAGUCAGGGGUGAAAUCCCGAGGCUCAACCUCGGAACUGCCUUUGAUACUGGGGGUCUCGAGUCCGGGAGAGGGGAGUGGAACUGCGAGUGUAGAGGUGAAAUUCGUAGAUAUUCGCAAGAACACCAGUGGCGAAGGCGGCUCACUGGCCCGGAACUGACGCUGAGGUGCGAAAGCGUGGGGAGCAAACAGGAUUAGAUACCCUCGUAGUC
rnacentral:rRNA from 1 species